GUUAUAACCGGCGAUUUCCGAAUGGGGAAACCCAGUGUGUUUCGACACACUAUCAUUAACUGAAUCCAUAGGUUAAUGAGGCGAACCGGGGGAACUGAAACAUCUAAGUACCCCGAGGAAAAGAAAUCAACCGAGAUUCCCCCAGUAGCGGCGAGCGAACGGGGAGCAGCCCAGAGCCUGAAUCAGUGUGUGUGUUAGUGGAAGCGUCUGGAAAGGCGCGCGAUACAGGGUGACAGCCCCGUACACAAAAAUGCACAUACUGUGAGCUCGAUGAGUAGGGCGGGACACGUGGUAUCCUGUCUGAAUAUGGGGGGACCAUCCUCCAAGGCUAAAUACUCCUGACUGACCGAUAGUGAACCAGUACCGUGAGGGAAAGGCGAAAAGAACCCCGGCGAGGGGAGUGAAAAAGAACCUGAAACCGUGUACGUACAAGCAGUGGGAGCACGCUUAGGCGUGUGACUGCGUACCUUUUGUAUAAUGGGUCAGCGACUUAUAUUCUGUAGCAAGGUUAACCGAAUAGGGGAGCCGAAGGGAAACCGAGUCUUAACUGGGCGUUAAGUUGCAGGGUAUAGACCCGAAACCCGGUGAUCUAGCCAUGGGCAGGUUGAAGGUUGGGUAACACUAACUGGAGGACCGAACCGACUAAUGUUGAAAAAUUAGCGGAUGACUUGUGGCUGGGGGUGAAAGGCCAAUCAAACCGGGAGAUAGCUGGUUCUCCCCGAAAGCUAUUUAGGUAGCGCCUCGUGAAUUCAUCUCCGGGGGUAGAGCACUGUUUCGGCAAGGGGGUCAUCCCGA
rnacentral:rRNA from 1 species